CAGUUCACGGUGCUUUUUAGUGCACUUGGAAACAUCUUCUCACUCUAAGAAAUUUUUGCUGUAACCCAGGAAAGAGAAAGAACAGGAGAGUGGGAGUUCAGUAGUAACAGGAACACAGAAAUCAUUAGGCUGACCUAGACAAUAGGAAGAUGCAGAAUAUUUUAGUAAGGUGCGGUAAUAACUGUCACCUGCAAAAUGUCCAUCAGCACUUCUGCAAACUCUUUCCACCAUUCUCAACAAGAUAGCAAAGGAUAAGUCUAGUUGCAGCCAUUGAGCCUUUGGUUUUCUCACCUUCCUGCUCACCUCUUUUGCCAAGACAAAUCUGGGUCCUUCUCUGAAUAGUCACCUCUGGGCACAAAGCCACAAAAUGAGAUGACUGAGGCUCAGCUGGGAUAUAGAUAUCAAGGCUAGGAAUUCCAGUCCACACAUCUGCAAAGUUUAUCACCUGUGUUUUUGCUAAUAAAGAUCCCAAGACAUCUAACAUCCUUCUUCUGCUUAUGCUUGUUGGCCAGGCAGUCACCAGCUUAACGAGGCUGAAUUUCAGGAGAACCUCUUCAAAAAGCAUCCUGGCAAAGCAUGUGUAACACACAACGAGGACUGAGCAGGACAUAAGGCACAGCAGCUGCCUUCACUUUGUUUCAGAAUAACUUUUUCAGCCCACAAGGCUGAAACACUUUCUGUGACUGAAAUGGCUCCAGCACAGCUAUUCCCUCGAAGACAUCCUCCAUGAUUUCUUGUGAUGCCUGUAAGACUGCUGAAGUUUCAGUUCAGAGAUAAACCAGAUACCAGAAUAAAGGAACAUAGACCAGUGAGACAUCUCCUGACCUCUGUUCCCAUCUGA
rnacentral:lncRNA from 1 species